rnacentral:snoRNA from 1 species
AAGCUAUGAUGACAUUUUUUAACCUUAGACUUAGUUGUCAUGUCUUACUAUGCCAGAAGUUUGGGCUGAUGGCUAAAGUAAGGCAACAGCUUUGCUAAUGCUGUAACACUUCCAUGGCUCUGAGAUU